AUUGCACGCUGGCGGCAGGCCUAACACAUGCAAGUCGAGCGGAGCGGCGGACGGGUGAGUAAUGCCUAGGAAUCUGCCUGUUAGUGGGGGAUAACGUCCGGCAACGGGCGCUAAUACCGCAUACUAUCAGAUGAGCCUAGGUCGGAUUAGCUAGUUGGUGGGGUAAAGGCCUACCAAGGCGACGAUCCGUAACUGGUCUGAGAGGAUGAUCAGUCACACUGGAACUGAGACACGGUACAGAAGACGACGGGAGGCAGCAGUGGGGAAUAGUGGACAAGGGGCAAAAGCCUGGUCCAGGCAUGCCGCGUGUGUGAAGAAGGGCUUCGGAGGGGAAAGCACGUUAAGUUGGGAGGCGUUACCAACAGAAUAAGCACCGGCUAACUUCGUGCCAGCAGGCGCGGUAAUAC
rnacentral:rRNA from 1 species